GCCUUCGUGGUGUACUGGUCAGCACGCUCGGCGCUUACUCGAGAGGUCCGUGGUUCGAGUCCCGGCAGAGGACA
rnacentral:tRNA from 1 species